AUGGUGACAAUAUUGGUGGAAGAAUUUGAUGUAAUAAAGGAAUUGUUGGAUGAAAUGGAUCAGGAAAAUGUGGUGUACUUGGUGGUUGUAAUGGAUUAUUAGGAACUAAUGGAGGUGGUUGAAGUGGAUUAGGGACUAAUGGUGUUGAAGUUGGUGGCUGUAAUGGAUUAUUAGGGACUAAUGGUGGUGAUAAAAAUGGAUUAGGAGGAAGGUUAAAAGUAUCAAGGUUAAUUACAUUUUUUUCAUCUAAAUUUUUUGAAGUUUUAGUUGAUUUGUAUUUGGAUUCUUCACUAGUCAUUCCACUAGGGAUUAGUGGUGACAAUUCAGGUGGCAAUAUUGGUGUAAGAAUUUCAGGUACUAAAGGAACUGGUGGAAGGAAAGGAAGAACACCACUAGGGGGGUUUGGAUCUUGAAGUGGGGGUGGAAAAGAAGGAUCAAUUUUGGGAGGAAAUGAAGUUUUUUUCAAAGAAUCAAGAAGUUUUUUUGUGUUUUGAACAACACUUGGUUUUUGGUUACAUAAAUUUGGUUGUUUAAGUGGUUUGAAUGAGAAAAACCCUGCUGAAAAAAUGUGUAGUCCUUGUUUUCUUGAUUUUAGGUGAAGUGAUGAAGAUGAGGCUGCUGAAGCUAUAGAACAAAAUGGUUCAUUGCUGCUUACUAAUUUCACUACACACCCUUUGAUUCUCUUUACAUGUUUGCUUACUGAGAAUGGAAGUUGGAUUUUGAAUUCACCAUGUUCAUUUGUUUUGACUUGUUUCUUGAAUCUUGG
rnacentral:lncRNA from 1 species